rnacentral:rRNA from 1 species
AUUGAACGCUGGCGGCAUGCUUUACACAUGCAAGUCGAACGGCAGCGCGGGCUUCGGCCUGGCGGCGAGUGGCGAACGGGUGAGUAAUGCAUCGGAACGUGCCCAGUAGUGGGGGAUAACCCGGCGAAAGCCGGAUUAAUACCGCAUACGACCUGAGGGUGAAAGCGGGGGACCGAAAGGCCUCGCGCUAUUGGAGCGGCCGAUGUCGGAUUAGCUAGUUGGUGGGGUAAAGGCUUACCAAGGCGACGAUCCGUAGCUGGUCUGAGAGGACGACCAGCCACACUGGGACUGAGACACGGCCCAGACUCCUACGGGAGGCAGCAGUGGGGAAUUUUGGACAAUGGGGGCAACCCUGAUCCAGCCAUGCCGCGUGCGGGAAGAAGGCCUUCGGGUUGUAAACCGCUUUUGUUCGGGAAGAAAUCCUCUGGGCUAAUACCCCGGGGGGAUGACGGUACCGGAAGAAUAAGCACCGGCUAACUACGUG